rnacentral:rRNA from 1 species
AGUGAACGCUGGCGGUAGGCCUAACACAUGCAAGUCGAACGGCAGCACAGUAAGAGCUUGCUCUUACGGGUGGCGAGUGGCGGACGGGUGAGGAAUACAUCGGAAUCUACUUUUUCGUGGGGGAUAACGUAGGGAAACUUACGCUAAAACCGCAUACGACCUACGGGUGAAAGCAGGGGAUCUUCGGACCUUGCGCGAUUGAAUGAGCCGAUGUCGGAUUAGCUAGUUGGCGGGGUAAAGGCCUACCAAGGCGACGAUCCGUAGCUGGUCUGAGAGGAUGAUCAGCCACACUGGAACUGAGACACGGUCCAGACUCCUACGGGAGGCAGCAGUGGGGAAUAUUGGACAAUGGGCGCAAGCCUGAUCCAGCCAUACCGCGUGGGUGAAGAAGGCCUUCGGGUUGUAAAGCCCUUUUGUUGGGAAAGAAAAGCAGCAGGUUAAUACCCCGCUGUUCUGACGGUACCCAAAGAAUAAGCACCGGCUAACUUCGUG